CUUACCAAAUUUUAACUCUUAUUAAGCUGUUAGAAAAUCAUAUUGCUGAGUAAUUCUAUCACAUUAAUAAUAUAUAAUUUGCUCCUCUGCUAUAAUUUCUGUAAUGCUGUAUGUAUAAGGAGAAAUAUCAGAAGCUUUAAAAGUCUAAGGGCUGAGACGAAAUCUUGGCUUCCUCACUUAUGGAUGGUGUCAGCUUGGGCGAGUCAGCUCACUUCUUUGUGCCUAAGUCGACUCAUCUGUAAACUGAAAGUGAGUGCACACCUACAGGUUUUUGAGAAGAAUAAAUGAGAUCGUGUUUGUGACAGGCCUCUUUAAACUUGCAAAUAUGUGCAAAUAUGCAUUAUAACUUUUAUUGAUGGUAAUGACAGCUGAAGGUCACCAAUGAGCAUCGUAGUGAUGACGAGUUCAAACAUUUUUGAAAAUUCUUGGCGCUAUUUAAUUGAAUAAUCAAAGAAAAAUGGCAGGGCAAAUGUUUCAGCUCUGACUGCGGAUGCAGAUUUGGAAGAUGGAGGGAAGCAGAUUGUGACCAAAGGCAAGGAAAAAGAAAAUGAGAACAAAUCUGCAACAGGUUUCACUCUGAUGUUUUCCUGAACCUCGUAAGCCAAUAAAGUACUUUGAGCCGCUCAUCUUGUUCUCAUUUCCACAUAUUAUAGGCCCAUCAUCUUGGGAUGAUAACCAGUUUUCCUCAAUAGAGAAGCAUCAGAUGAUGAGGAGCAGCUCCAGUGUUGGCCAUGUACUUUGUGCUGCCCUUUGCACUGAAGACCCAAGGAAGAAAGGGCAUCCUCCACUAUCAUUGAGUUCACGGCCUGGAAAGGAAGAUGGAUAUAAACCAGUAACCAACAUUUUCCCAAAGAAGAUACGCAAUUGGCCAACAAGCACAUGAAAAGAUGCUCAACAUCUUUAGUCAUUAAGGAACUGCAAAUCAAAAUCACAAUGAGAUACCACUUCAUACUCACUAGGAUGGCUAUAAUUAAACAAACAGAAGAUAAGACGCGUUGGUGAGGAUGUGAAGAAUUGGAUCCCUUAUGCACUGCCCCCGGGAAUGUAAAGUAGUGCAGCCACUGGGGAAACAGUUUAGAGGGUCCUCAAAAAGUUAAACAUAGAAUUAGCAUAUGACCUAGCAAUUCUACUUCUAAGCAUAUACCCUAAAGAAUUGGAAACAGGCGUUCAAACAAAAACUUAUACAUGAAUGUUCGUAGUAGCACUAUUUACAACAGCCAAAAGAUGGAAACAUCCC
rnacentral:lncRNA from 1 species